GGCGGAGCCGCCACCGCGGAAGGAGUUAAAAGCAUGAGAUGGGGAGUGGAGGUUACACUACUUAUAGAGAGCGAUGGACUCUAGUAAGCGUGCUGUGCUGCACAAAGUAAAUUUAUUUGUGUGGCUGAGAUGGGACGCAAGAUCCAGUUCUUCAUGAGCUGCUCUGGUGUGGGUCCCCCAUAGGCUCACAAGUCCUACCAGCAAACCUGCUCCAGUGUGGGGGUCCUCCUCUCCACGUCUACAGAUCCUGCCAGGAGCUCGCUCCAGCAUGGGCUUCCCGUGGGGUCAAAACCUUCUUUGGGUGCAUCCACCUACUUAGGCCUGGGGUCUUCCACAGGCUGCAGGUAGAUCUCUGUUUCCCCAGGGACCUCCAUGGGCUGCAGUGGGACAGCUGCUUCACCAUGGUCUUCAUCGUGCACUGUAGGGGACACACAGCUUUGGUGCCUGGAGCACCUCUUCCCCCUCCUUCUCUACUAACUUUGGUGACUACAGGGUUGUUGCUCCCGCAUAUUCUCAGUCAUCUCUUCUAUGUCUGCAAUUGCUUUUGCACAAUAACUUCUUUCCUUUCUUAAAUAUGUUGUCCCAGAGGUGCUACUACCAUCUCUGGCUUGGCCUUGGCCACUGGUGAGUCUGUCUUGGAGCCAGCAGGAAUUGGCUCUGCUGUACAUGGGGGAAGCUUCUAGCAGCUUCUCACAGAAGCCACCCCUGUAGCCCUCCUGCUACCAAAUCCUGGCCUUGCAAACCCCACACAAUUCUUCAGAUUCACAGCCUGACAUCAAUAUAAAAGAAAGAUUUCAGAAUUACAAGGCAAAUUGAUGAUUACAAACAUACAAAAUGUUUUAAUAGGCUGAAAUAUUGAAGUGAAAAUGAAUCACAGAAAGAUUAUUCCAAGACAGAAGUCGUAGAAAGUGCAGUCCCAGCUGUCAGCCUAGGAUUCACUGGCUUGGAGAUAUAAUAUCAUAUUCUCUCGUGUGAGGUUUUGAAGACAAAUUAUGCUGAAAACCACAUCACUGAGUUGUAUCAGGAAUCAACUGAAGCAAUUAAAGAACUACAGUUUAAGGGAGUCUGUAAAAUUUGGUUACAUUUCCUGGAACAAACAGCAGACCUUCCAAAAGCAAACUUUGCAUCAGAGAAAAAGCAUUUUAGAAUGUUACAAUACUAUUGGUUUCUUUUCUCCAGUCCUUUUUGUGUAAUUGCAUCAUAGGAAACAUAAAACUGUUUUUGCUUGUAUCUGAAGAACUUCUGGUGAGAAAUGAAACAGAGCCAAAGCCUGUAGUACUGAAACAGUGUGAACUCAGCAAGCAUCCUUUCAGUUCUGAAAAAGGAUUAAACUUAGGAUCUUAAUCCUCAAAGAAUAUACAUUGUUGAAGUAAAGUUCAUUAGCUGCACAGAAGCAUCAUAGAAAUGGAAAAAGACCAUUAAAAUGGUUAGUCAUUGAGAGGAAUGGCAGAUUUGUCUUUACAAACAAGUUAUGGGUCUGCUGGUAGAUAAAACUAGCACUGGGAGAUAAAAGAAACAAAGGGAGGAUUCCACUGAUUGAUGAAUGGCAAAAGAUAUUUGCUUUUACAAAUAAACUUUAGGUUUGCUGAGAAAUGAAAUUGGACAUUGAAAGAUGAAAGGAACAAUGGGGGAAACCCCUAAAUUCCAUAAGAAUUAAAAAUUAAAAGGAAGGGUUAUACAUUAGAGGGAAAACUUUGGUAUCAGGUGUAUCGGGAAGUCUGUACCUCUCAAGUACCUCAACCAAUGGGGAAAGAGAGAAGGGAAAUGCGGCCAGGAAAUUCGGAUAAAAAGGAGGCUGUGUCCUCCAAAAAAUUUGAGAGAUCCCAGGGGAAUGCCCCAUGGCCUCUCCCUUUAUUCGAAUAAAGUAUAAGGACUCCUCUGUUUCCUUUUUGGACAUAAAUCUCUGAUGUUUGUGGAUUAAUUUUCCUGACAAACUGUGGGCUUGUCUGGGAUAUUUCCACCAUCUGGAGUGGUGGGCAGGCAGUGAGCAGAGCUGAAGGCGUGCCUCACACAGUUUGGGUCAUCAGCUCCCCUUGGUGGCGGCCAGCUCUGGGCAAUCAAUUGGGUUCCCGAGACUCCAGGAGACAGACGAGUGGCGGACAUGGCAGGUCCCUGAAGAGUCCACAGGGAAGAAGCACUGAAAAUCUUACCGAAAGGAAUGAGGGGCCCUCACCGGAUGGCGGCUGCAGGACACCUAAAUCUUUCAGAAAAAGGGAAUUUAUUGCUCCCUUAUCAGCAGAAAACUAACUUCUUCCCACCUCACUCAGACAGGAAGACGGCAUGAGGAUUAAGAGGAAGAAGUUGACAGUGACCAGACAGAAUACUGUGUUUGAAUGGAAUUUAUGCAUCAUGUAUGAGAUGUAUGAAUAUGCAACAGGCGAUUGUUUUUAAGCGUUAAUCCUCUGUUAACGGGGGUCCUUUUUCGGGCUUGUGUUGCCCAGAAAAAGGUAGCCGGACGUCCGUAUCUCUUUGUUUUUAUUGUCUCAUAUUGUCCUAAUCUCAAAUGUUCAAAUUUUAUUAUUCUGAUUAUAUUGCUAUUUUUAUAACCAUUUUAUUACUA